rnacentral:rRNA from 1 species
AACGCGAAGAACCUUACCAAGGCUUGACAUAUGCCGGAAAGCCGUAGAGAUACGGUCCCCCUUGUGGUCGGUAUACAGGUGGUGCAUGGUUGUCGUCAGCUCGUGUCGUGAGAUGUUGGGUUAAGUCCCGCAACGAGCGCAACCCUCGUUCUGUGUUGCCAGCGGGUUAUGCCGGGGACUCACAGGAGACUGCCGGGGUCAACUCGGAGGAAGGUGGGGACGACGUCAAAUCAUCAUGCCCCUUAUGUCUUGGGCUGCACACGUGCUACAAUGGCCGGUACAAUGAGCUGCGAUACCGCGAGGUGGAGCGAAUCUCAAAAAGCCGGUCUCAGUUCGGAUUGGGGUCUGCAACUCGACCCCAUGAAGUCGGAGUUGCUAGUAAUCGCAGAUCAGCAUUGCUGCGGUGAAUACGUUCCCGGGCCUUGUA